rnacentral:tRNA from 1 species
GCCUGGGUGGCUCAGUCAGUUAAGCGUCUGACUUCAGCUCAGGUCAUGAUCUCGCGGUUUGUGAGUUCGAGCCCCACAUCGGGCU